CCUACGGGGGGCAGCAGUGGGGAAUAUUGGACAAUGGGGGCAACCCUGAUCCAGCCAUGCCGCGUGUGUGAAGAAGGCCUUCGGGUUGUAAAGCACUUUAAGCGAGGAGGAAGGUCUUUGGAAUAAUACUUCAAAGAAUUGACGUUACUCGCAGAAUAAGCACCGGCUAACUCUGUGCCAGCAGCCGCGGUAAUACAGAGGGUGCAAGCGUUAAUCGGAAUUACUGGGCGUAAAGCGCGCGUAGGCGGUAUGUUAAGUCGGAUGUGAAAUCCCUGGGCUCAACCUAGGCAUUGCAUCCGAUACUGGCACACUAGAGUGUGGGAGAGGAAGGUAGAAUUCCAGGUGUAGCGGUGAAAUGCGUAGAGAUCUGGAGGAAUACCGAUGGCGAAGGCAGCCUUCUGGCCUAACACUGACGCUGAGGUGCGAAAGCAUGGGGAGCAAACAGGAUUAGAUACCCCAGUAGUC
rnacentral:rRNA from 1 species